rnacentral:tRNA from 1 species
GUUAGCGUGGCAGAAGAUGGUUAUGCAGAAGACCUAAGCCCUUCCCCUAGGGGUUCAAAUCCCCUCACUAACU